CCUACGGGAGGCAGCAGUGAGGAAUAUUGGUCAAUGGGCGUAAGCCUGAACCAGCCAAGUCGCGUGAGGGAUGAAGGUUCUAUGGAUCGUAAACCUCUUUUAUAAGGGAAUAAAGUGCGGGACGUGUCCCGUUUUGUAUGUCCCUUAUGAAUAAGGAUCGGCUAACUCCGUGCCAGCAGCCGCGGUAAUACGGAGGAUCCGAGCGUUAUCGGGAUUUAUUGGGUUUAAAGGUUGCGUAGGCGGCCUUUUAAGUCAGCGGUGAAAGUCUGUGGCUCAACCAUAGAAUUGCCGUUGAAACUGGGAGGCUUGAGUAUGUUUGAGGCAGGAGGAAUGCGUGGUGUAGCGGUGAAAUGCUUAGAUAUCACGCAGAACCCCGAUUGCGAAGGCAGCUUGCCAAGCCAUGACUGACGCUGAUGCACGAAAGCGUGGGGAUCAAACAGGAUUAGAUACCCUAGUAGUC
rnacentral:rRNA from 1 species